rnacentral:rRNA from 1 species
GAUGAACGCUGGCGGCGUGCCUAAUACAUGCAAGUCGAGCGAACAUACGAGGAGCUUGCUCCUCUGACGUUAGCGGCGGACGGGUGAGUAACACGUGGAUAACCUACCUAUAAGACUGGUAUAACUUCGGGAAACCGGAGCUAAGACCGGAUAAUAUAUUGAACCGCAAGGUUCAAUAGUGAAAGACGGUUUUGCUGUCACUUAUAGAUGGAUCCGCGCCGCAUUAGCUAGUUGGUAAGGUAACGGCUUACCAAGGCGACGAUGCGUAGCCCACCUGAGAGGGUGAUCGGCCACAAUGGAACUUGAACACGGUCCAGAACCCUAAGGGAGGCCGCCGGAGGGAAUCUUCCCACAUGGGCGGAAGCCUGACGGAGCCACGCCGGGGGAGUGAUGAAGGUCUUCCGAUCGUAAAACCCUGUUAGUAGGGAAAAAAAAAUGUGGAAGUAACCAUGCACGUCUUGACGGUACCCUAUCAGAAAGCCACGGCUAAAUUCGUG